GACGAACGCUGGCGGCGUGCUUAACACAUGCAAGUCGAGCGGUAAGGCCCUUUCGGGGGUACACGAGCGGCGAACGGGUGAGUAACACGUGGGUGACCUGCCCUCAGCUCUGGGAUAAGCCUGGGAAACUGGGUCUAAUACCGGAUAUGACUCCAUGACGCAUGUUGUGGGGUGGAAAGCCUUGUGCGGCUGAGGAUGGGCCCGCGGCCUAUCAGCUUGUUGGUGGGGGAUGGCCUACCAAGGCGACGACGGGUAGCCGGCCUGAGAGGGCGACCGGCCACACUGGGACUGAGACACGGCCCAGACUCCUACGGGAGGCAGCAGUGGGAAAUCUUGCGCAAUGGGCGAAAGCCUGACGCAGCGACGCCGCGUGAGGGAUGACGGCC
rnacentral:rRNA from 1 species